CCUACGGGCUGCAGCAGUAGGGAAUCUUCGGCAAUGGACGAAAGUCUGACCGAGCAACGCCGCGUGAGUGAAGAAGGACUUCGGAUCGUAAAACUCUGUUGUUAGAGAAGAACAAGUAGGAGAGUAACUGCUCUUACCUUGACGGUAUCUAACCAGAAAGCCGCGGCUAACUACGUGCCAGCAGCCGCGGUAAUACGUAGGUGGCAAGCGUUGUCCGGACUUAUUGGGCGUAAAGCGAGCGCAGGCGGUCUUUUAAGUCUGAUGUGAAAGCCCUCGGCUCAACCGAGGAAGGUCAUUGGAAACUGGAGGACUUGAGUGCAGAAGAGGAGAGUGGAAUUCCAUGUGUAGCGGUGAAAUGCGUAGAUAUAUGGAGGAACACCAGUGGCGAAGGCGACUCUCUGGUCUGUAACUGACGCUGAGGCGCGAAAGCGUGGGGAGCAAACAGGAUUAGAUACCCUCGUAGUC
rnacentral:rRNA from 1 species